GACGAACGCUGGCGGCGUGCUUAACACAUGCCAGUCAAACGGAAAGGCCCUGCUUUUGUGGGGUGCUCGAGUGGCGAACGGGUGAGUAACACGUGAGUAACCUGCCUUUUACUUUGGGAUAACUUCAGGAAACUGGGGCUACUACCGGAUAGGAGCUCCUGCUGCAUGGUGGGGGUUGGAAAGUUUCGGCGGUUGGGGAUGGACUCGCGGCUUAUCAGCUUGUUGGUGGGGUAGUGGCUUACCAAGGCUUUGACGGGUAGCCGGCCUGAGAGGGUGACCGGCCACAUUGGGACUGAGAUACGGCCCAGACUCCUACGGGAGGCAGCAGUGGGGAAUAUUGCACAAUGGGCGGAAGCCUGAUGCAGCAACGCCGCGUGCGGGAUGACGGCCUUCGGGUUGUAAACCGCUUUCGCCUGUGACGAAGCGUGAGUGACGGUAAUGGGUAAAGAAGCACCGGCUAACUACGUG
rnacentral:rRNA from 1 species